AAAAAGUACACAAUGAAAAUGGUGAAACUGACAGAUUGUCAAUCUUGGCUGCUUUUAUCUCUCAGAAAAAUGAGUGGGAGUUGUAUACAGAAAAAUGUCUGCAUGGCUGUCUGCUACAGUGUUAGUUAUGCAGAUAAUCUAUGCAGCAUUUUUUUACUCCUAAUCAUCUCCUCAUCAAAGGCUCAUCAAGGGGUGCCUGGUGCCCGAUUCCUCACAAUGACUGCCACAUACCCUGGGUGACAUUUUGAGAUACAAUCAGAGCAGCUAUGAUAGCCAAAGCAGCCAAAGCAACAUUUUACAUAUUUUCAUGACAAAGGCACUAACAAUCUUUUCUGCUUGUUCUAGAAACCUCUGGAGUGUUCUAACUGGCAAAAACAAUGGUACUUUGCGGUUUUGAGCCUGGGAAACCUAAAAAAAACUUUGGCAAUUGUGUCUCUUCUCACUUCAUGGCUCUGGAAAACAAGAAGACUGCUCAGCUUGACUCCAAGAGAUGGAGUUUCACCAUGCUGCCCAGGCUGGUCUUGA
rnacentral:lncRNA from 1 species